UACGAAGGGGGCUAGCGUUGCUCGGAAUCACUGGGCGUAAAGGGUGCGUAGGCGGGUCUUUAAGUCAGGGGUGAAAUCCUGGAGCUCAACUCCAGAACUGCCUUUGAUAUUGAGGAUCUUGAGUUCGGGAGAGGUGAGUGGAACUGCGAGUGUAGAGGUGAAAUUCGUAGAUAUUCGCAAGAACACCAGUGGCGAAGGCGGCUCACUGGCCCGAUACUGACGCUGAGGCACGAAAGCGUGGGGAGCAAACAGG
rnacentral:rRNA from 1 species